UGGGGAAUUUUGGACAAUGGGCGAAAGCCUGAUCCAGCAAUGCCGCGUGUGUGAAGAAGGCCUUCGGGUUGUAAAGCACUUUUGUCCGGAAAGAAAUCCUUGGCUCUAAUACAGUCGGGGGAUGACGGUACCGGAAGAAUAAGCACCGGCUAACUACGUGCCAGCAGCCGCGGUAAUACGUAGGGUGCAAGCGUUAAUCGGAAUUACUGGGCGUAAAGCGUGCGCAGGCGGUUUGCUAAGACCGAUGUGAAAUCCCCGGGCUCAACCUGGGAACUGCAUUUGGGUGACUGGCAGGCUAGAGUAUGGCAGAGGGGGGUUAGAAUUCCACGUGUAGCAGUGAAAUGCGUAGAGAUGUGGAGGAAUACCGAUGGCGAAGGCAGCCCCCUGGGCCAAUACUGACGCUCAUGCACGAAAGGCGUGGGGAGCAAACAGGAUUAGAUACCCUGGUAGUCCACGCCCUAAACGAUGUCAACUAGUUGUUGGGGAUUCAUUUCCUAGUAACGUAGCUAACGCGUGAAGUUGACCGCCUGGGGAGUACGGUCGCAAGAUU
rnacentral:rRNA from 1 species